UAAGACGAAGGAUGCAAGCGUUAUCCGGAUUCAUUGGGUUUAAAGGGAGCGUAGGUGGACUGAUAAGUCAGUGGUGAAAUCUUUGGGCUUAACCCAAAAAUUGCCAUUGAUACUGUUGGUCUUGAGUACAGUUGCUGUGGGCGGAAUAUGACAUGUAGUGGUGAAAUACAUAGAGAUGUCAUAGAACACCGAUUGCGAAGGCAGCUCACAAAGCUGUAACUGACACUGAGGCUCGAAAGUGCGGGGAUCAAACAGGAUUAGAUACCCUGGUAGUCCGCACUGUAAACGAUGAUUACUCGCUGCUAGAGGGCAACUUUUAGUGGCUUAGCGAAAGCGAUAAGUAAUCCACCUGGGGAGUACGCCGGCAACGGUG
rnacentral:rRNA from 1 species